rnacentral:lncRNA from 1 species
AAGCAGACUGGACAGAAAGGAACUCUGAGCAGCUAAACUCUGACUAAUCCCAGGGUAUACCUGCGUUUUCUCUUCACCAGAUUUUUCCUACCAGGAAGAGCAUGUGCUGACCAACAGACAUGAAUUUCAGCCUGGUAGUUACAACAUUCACAGGAGUUUCACUCGUUGCCCAGGCUGGAGUGCAACGGCGCGAUCUCAGCUCACUGCAACCUCCGCCUCCCCAGUUCAAGCGAUUCUCCUGCCUCAGCCUCCUGAGUCACUGGAAUUACGGGCGCCUGACACCACGCCCAGCUAAUUUUUUGUAUUUUUAGUAGACAUGGGGUUUCACUAUGUUGGCCAGGCUGGUCUCGAACUCCUGACCUCAUGAUCCUCCUGCCUCAGCCUCCCAAAGCACUGGGAUUACAGGUGUGAGCCACUGUGCCUGGUCCAUUAAAAACAUUUGUAAAGCUAUGGUGUUGAUAAAGUAUUAUGAAAGACUGCAAAAAAAGAUGGCUAAUUUUUAGUUAUUAUUGCACAUGUUUAGAGGAGCUAAUGACAUUUUCUAUGAUUAAUAAAAGACAUUAUUUAUGUUUUUAUUUAUGUAUUCCACAACAUUUAUUUUAUUUUCUCCAUUUCAGGAAAACCACUAUGUUGUUACAAUAAAGAUUUUCAUGUAAUUUGUGUUCAAUUGAUAGUAAUAAUGUAACAAGUUAAAAAUGAAGGUAAUUGUGUUUAAAAUUU